AGUGAACGCUGGCGGUAGGCCUAACACAUGCAAGUCGAACGGCAGCACAGGAGAGCUUGCUCUCUGGGUGGCGAGUGGCGGACGGGUGAGGAAUACAUCGGAAUCUACUCUGUCGUGGGGGAUCACGGAGGGAAACUUACGCUAAUACCGCAUACGACCUACGGGUGAAAGCAGGGGACCUUCGGGCCUUGCGCGAUUGAAUGAGCAGAUGUCGGAUUAGCUAGUUGGCGGGGUAAAGGCCCACCAAGGCGACGAUCCGUAGCUGGUCUGAGAGGAUGAUCAGCCACACUGGAACUGAGACACGGUCCAGACUCCUACGGGAGGCAGCAGUGGGGAAUAUUGGACAAUGGGCGCAAGCCUGAUCCAGCCAUACCGCGUGGGUGAAGAAGGCCUUCGGGUUGUAAAGCCCUUUUGUUGGGAAAGAAAUCCAGCUGGCUAAUACCCGGUUGGGAUGACGGUACCCAAAGAAUAAGCACCGGCUAACUUCGUGCCAGCCGCCGCAGUAA
rnacentral:rRNA from 1 species